AAAGUCGUAACAAGGUUUCCGUAGGUGAACCUGCGGAAGGAUCAUUAACAAAUCUUUCAACACAAACCCUGUGUAAACGUUUGCGUUCCCUUGUGUGGGUGCGUGGGGUGGCGUGAUGGCGCUAGGUAAACUAGCACGUCGCAAUGUCGCGCGCCUCCAAGGGAUCGUCUUUAUUAUACUAUUAUUGAUUGACAGCCUAGAUACAAAGUUAAACUUAAACAACUUUUAACAAUGGAUCUCUUGGCUCUU
rnacentral:misc_RNA from 1 species